rnacentral:rRNA from 1 species
UACAGAGGUCUCGAGCGUUAGGCGGAAUCACUGGGCUUAAAGCGUGUGUAGGCGGAUCGUUAAGUACCUUGUGAAAUCCCACGGCUUAACCGUGGAACUGCUUGGUAUACUGGCGGUCUUGAGCCAGCUAGGGGCUACCGGAACAAAUGGUGGAGCGGUGAAAUGCGUAGAUAUCAGGAGGAACACCGAUGGCGAAGGCAGGUCUCUGGGCCACUACUGACGCUGAGAAGCGAAAGCAUGGGGAGCGAACAGG